AGAUUCAUUGAGUCAACUUAACGAAUCGCAUGGCCUUGCGCCGGCGAUGGUAUCAUUCAAAUUUUCUGCCCUAUCAACGGGUUUCGAUGGUAGGAUAGUGCCCCCGCCUACCAUGGUAUCAACGGGUAACGGGGAAUUAGGGUUCUAUUCCGGAGAGGGAGCCUGAGAAACGGCUACCACAUCCAAGGAAGGCAGCAGGCGCGCAAAUUACCCAAUCCCGACACGGGGAGGUAGUGACAAUAAAUACUGAUACAGGGCUCUUUUGGGUCUUGUAAUUGGAAUGAGUACAAUUUAAAUACCUUAACGAGGAACAAUUGGAGGGCAAGUCUGGUGCCAGCAGCCGCGGUAAUUCCAGCUCCAAUAGCGUAUAUUAAAGUUGUUGCAGUUAAAAAGCUCGUAGUUGAACCUUGGGCCUGGCUGGCCGGUCCGCCUCACCGCGUGUACUGGUCCGGCCGGGCCUUUCCUUCUGGGGAUCCGCAUGCCCUUCGCUGGGUGUGCCGGGGAACCAGGACUUUUACUUUGAAAAAAUUAGAGUGUUCAAAGCAGGCCUUUGCUCGAAUACAUUAGCAUGGAAUAAUAGAAUAGGACGUGCGGUCCUAUUUUGUUGGUUUCUAGGACCGCCGUAAUGAUUAAUAGGGAUAGUCGGGGGCAUCAGUAUUCAAUUGUCAGAGGUGAAAUUCUUGGAUUUAUUGAAGACUAACUACUGCGAAAGCAUUUGCCAAGGAUGUUUUCAUUAAUCAGUGAACGAAAGUUAGGGGAUCGAAGACGAUCAGAUACCGUCGUAGUCUUAACCGUAAACUAUGCC
rnacentral:rRNA from 1 species